CGGCGGGCGGGCGCGCAUGCGCGGCGCGGCGCCGCUGUCCGUUCAGCACCACGCGGAGCCGGGACCCGCUGCUGCCGGUUGUUUGCAGAUGCAGAAAGAACAUCAGAGACUGUUAGUGUAUUGUAGAGGUGUGUGCUGAGACACAGCUUUACACCAUCAGGAUAUUCAGUGAACUCAGCAACCUAGGUCUACACCAAUGGUUCUUUCAAAGGAUCUGGCUCCAUCUUUUCUCUGGCUGCAGGAUAAGUCUGACAGCCUCCAUCACUCUCAGGGUUGGACUGGAGCACAGCUGGUCUUCUUGGUUGCAUGGGAGAAGGUAUUGAGCUCAUAGGGUAAGCUCUGCUGUCAGUCAGUGCUGAGAUUGCACAGUGUAACCAGACUCCAUUUCUAAGCUGCUGAAACAAGAACACAUGGUGACUUCUGUUCAACUCUUCUCUGUACAUGCCACCUUCCUACUUCUUAUUCAGAAAAUAAUUUGACUAUACAGUCAGGGCUAAAAAAAAAUAAAUAAACAGAUGUAAAGCA
rnacentral:lncRNA from 1 species